rnacentral:rRNA from 1 species
UACGGAGGGUGCAAGCGUUAUCGGAAUUACUGGGCGUAAAGCGUGCGCAGGCGGUUUGUUAAGUCCGUUGUGAAAGCCCCGAGCUCAACUUGGGAAUUGCAGUGGAUACUGGCAGGCUGGAGUACGGUAGAGGAAGGUGGAAUUCCCGGUGUAGCAGUGAAAUGCGUAGAUAUCGGGAGGAACACCAGUGGCGAAGGCGGAC